rnacentral:tRNA from 1 species
GGGCGGUUAGUUCAGUCGGGAGAACGCCUGCCUUACAAGCAGGAGGUCGCUGGUUCAAGCCCAGUACCGCCCACCA